ensembl:lncRNA
GUGAUGCAGCUCUUUCCUCUGGUUAUGCCCAAGUAGGAUUGAAUCACACAUGUCAGUUGUCUAGAAAGGACCUGAGUCACUGUGACAACUCAAGUUUAUAAUUGGCAUCAACUCCUCAAAUCACCUGACUAAAUCCAGACCCUUGAAACAGGAAUAAACCAGUCCAGCAUUAAUGGGAUUUAGAAAAAGAAAGGUUCUGAAAUACUUAAUUUGUAAAAAGGACACAUGAAAUAUUCUCUGGAAUUAAAUGAGCAGAAUUUGUAAAACAAGAAAAUGAACUGAGUCUUCUUGUGUCUGUGAAGGGAUCGACUCCAAGAAAACAAUGCAUUGAUCACCAUUGACAAAAGAGUUCAUGAAAGCAGUAAAAUGCUAAAAUAAAUACUUCUGGAUUAACAAAGAAGCAAAACAAUAAGCAAACAUAUGAAAUAUGAAAAAAUAAUCUUUGAAAACCUAUAAAAUGUUUUUAGCUUUAUGACAAAUUCAAGUAAAUUAAAUGGCAGAGGAGUUGUAAGCUUUCAGAAAAUUCAACAAAUUAAAGCUCCACAAAUUAAAAGCUCAAGAUAUACACAUAGCACCAGNNNNNNNNNNNNNNNNNNNNNNNNNNNNNNNNNNNNNNNNNNNNNNNNNNNNNNNNNNNNNNNNNNNNNNNNNNNNNNNNNNNNNNNNNNNNNNNNNNNNNNNNNNNNNNACAGGAAAGAAAAUGAAGGAGAAAAUAAAUUUAAAAUUAACAACACUUGAAAUAAAUAAAAUGACCUUGGAAAUGAAAAUAAAUAAACUUGGAAGUGAAAUAUACAGCAUCUUUCAACAUGAAAUAACAAAAAGGUUGUACAUAUGCACAGCCACGUACAUAAUACCUGACCAUCAGUUCAUCCAACUAUAAUGAAAACCAGUUCAAACCCCGGGUGCAUUUGAACAAAGCUGCCUCCAUGGAGGCAUGCUGCCCACAAGACCGCCCUCACAGCUUUUCACAAUCUGCCCCAAUGGCAGAUGUCUGGGGCGGGGUGGGGGCUGGGAGGGUGGACACUCUCGGCAUCCCUAGGACCCGCCACUCAGAUUUCAACAACAUCCUCCUGCCCGGCCCCAGGAAAUCAUUUUCAACCAACAGUUUCUCAAAAUAAUGUUCGGCUGGGCCAUGAAACUACCAUUCGGCUGUUGGGUUGGCAAUCACACGUUUUCGUUCCCGGUCAGAGGAUGUGGUCUGGGCAGUGUCUGUGCCCCUGCAGUGCUUGCUCAGUCUCAUGGAUUUCCUUCACGGCCCUGAACCUCUAGCUGCAGCUUCUGAGAAGCAUCAUUCUUCCUAUAAGCUUCCAGGCUUCAGCUUGUUGAUAUGCAUCUGUGGAUACCACACGCUCAUCUUCUAGCACAAGGAGGUUUCUUUCCAGUUGCUAGAAGUCCCGUCCUUUGUUCUGAUGGCUGAUUCUUAACGUCUGAGAGUCAUGAGGUCAGAAGGCUAAUGGACUUGGGCCCAAAGACUCUGCGAGGCCCUUUAAACUUUGAAAGUACUAAAGACAGCUGGGUGCCUUCGCCACCAGACACCUCCCAGAAAAAUCAGCUUUCUGUUUCCCAAAUGAGAAACUUGGCAAAGGGGCCGCAGUGCUGGGCCUUGACUUCACUCCUUUCUUACGCAGGACACACUCAUUCUGGUGGGACCGCUUUGACUGGAGCUCAUUACACAGGAGCAACAGAAUCAUUUCAGUAGUUGGCUCUGGUAGGAUUUUGGGCUCCCUGAUAAGACAGCCUCCUGAGUUUUCUUCCAGAAUCUAAAUUAUGAAGGUCUUAUUGCCUAUCUAUUUCUCUACAUAAGUAGAAUGGAUAAAGGAUGGUAUAAGAAUUCUUAAGCUAUAAAAGUAGUCAAAAACAUUCAGCAGGAGCAAUGCACUAUAUCAAAAAAGUUAACGAAAUUGUCAGCAAUGAUAGUAAAUUUAAAUACCAAGGAAACUUCCAGAUAAGUCUGAAACGUUAAAAUUCAGAAAUGAAAGGCCAAAUACAAGUUGAUAAGACUACAAAACGUACAUCACCAUCAGUCUACUAAAUCAUAAGAUAUCACUUUCCCUUAAAGAAGAACAAAUGAUAAAAUGUGCUUGCAUAUUUCAUAGAAAACCCUGAAUAAAAAUCAUAAUAAUGGUGAAGCAAGACAUGGAAUGAAUUUGGAAAAAAUUCUAAAAAGGCUGAUAUCGCAGUUACUAUAGGAAUAGGAUUUCAAUUUUUGUUUUUAAUGUCUGGCCUACACCAAAAAAAAAAAAA